AACGCACCUUGCACCCUUUGGUAUUCCGAAGGGCAUGCCUGUUUGAGUGUCAUUAAAUUAUCAACCUUGCUUGCUUUUACUAGCUGAGCUCGGCUUGGAUGUGGGGGUUUUUGCUGGCUUCCUUCAGUGGAUGGUCUGCUCCCCUUAAAUGCAUUAGCGGGAUCUCUUGUGGACCGUCACUUGGUGUGAUAAUUAUCUAUACCACUUGGCUUUGAAGCAAACUUUAUGGGAACCCGCUCAUAACCGUCUUCGGACAACUUUGACAUUUUGACCUCAAAUCAGGUAGGACUACCCGCUGAACUUAA
rnacentral:misc_RNA from 1 species